rnacentral:rRNA from 1 species
GUAGGGAAUCUUCGGCAAUGGACGGAAGCCUGACCGAGCAACGCCGCGUGAGUGAAGAAGGUUUUCGGAUCGUAAAGCUCUGUUGUAAGAGAAGAACGAGUGUGAGAGUGGAAAGUUCACACUGUGACGGUAUCUUACCAGAAAGGGACGGCUAACUACGUGCCAGCAGCCGCGGUAAUACGUAGGUCCCGAGCGUUGUCCGGAUUUAUUGGGCGUAAAGCGAGCGCAGGCGGUUAGAUAAGUCUGAAGUUAAAGGCUGUGGCUUAACCAUAGUAGGCUUUGGAAACUGUUUAACUUGAGUGCAAGAGGGGAGAGUGGAAUUCCAUGUGUAGCGGUGAAAUGCGUAGAUAUAUGGAGGAACACCGGUGGCGAAAGCGGCUCUCUGGCUUGUAACUGACGCUGAGGCUCGAAAGCGUGGGGAGCAAACAGGAUUAGAUACCCUGGUAGUCCACGCUGUAAACGAUGAGUGCUAGGUGUUAGACCCUUUCCGGGGUUUAGUGCCGUAGCUAACGCAUUAAGCACUCCGCCUGGGGAGUACGACCGCAAGGUUG